rnacentral:rRNA from 1 species
CAUGAAGCUGGAAUCGCUAGUAAUCGCGGAUCAGAAUGCCGCGGUGAAUACGUUCCCGGGUCUUGUACACACCGCCCGUCACACCAUGGGAGUAGGUAAUGCCCGAAGUCGGUGACCUAACCGGAAGGAAGGAGCCGCCGAAGGCAGGACUUAUAACUGGGGUGAAGUCGUAACAAGGUACC